rnacentral:rRNA from 1 species
GAUGAACGCUGGCGGCGUGCCUAAUACAUGCAAGUCGAGCGAACGGACGAGAAGCUUGCUUCUCUGAUGUUAGCGGCGGACGGGUGAGUAACACGUGGAUAACCUACCUAUAAGACUGGGAUAACUUCGGGAAACCGUAGCUAAUACCGGAUAAUAUUUUGAACCGCAUGGUUCAAAAGUGAAAGACGGUCUUGCUGUCACUUAUAGAUGGAUCCGCGCUGCAUUAGCUAGUUGGUAAGGUAACGGCUUACCAAGGCAACGAUGCAUAGCCGACCUGAGGGGGUGAUCGGCCACACUGGAACUGAGACACGGUCCAGACUCCUACGGGAGGCAGCAGUAGGGAAUCUUCCGCAAUGGGCGAAAGCCUGACGGAGCAACGCCGCGUGAGUGAUGAAGGUCUUCGGGUCGUAAAACUCUGUUAUUAGGGAAGAACAUAUGUGUAAGUAACUGUGCACAUCUUGACGGUACCUAAUCAGAAAGCCACGGCUAACUACGUG